rnacentral:rRNA from 1 species
UACGUAGGGGGCAAGCGUUGUCCGGAAUCAUUGGGCGUAAAGAGCGCGUAGGCGGCCCUGUAAGUCCGCUGUGAAAGUCAAGGGCUCAACCCUUGGAUGCCGGUGGAUACUGCAGGGCUAGAGUCCGGAAGAGGCGAGUGGAAUUCCUGGUGUAGCGGUGAAAUGCGCAGAUAUCAGGAGGAACACCGAUGGCGAAGGCAGCUCGCUGGGACGGUACUGACGCUGAGGCGCGAAAGCGUGGGAGCAAACAGG